UGGGGGAUAGCCCGGCGAAAGCCGGAUUAAUACCGCAUACGCUCUACGGAGGAAAGGGGGGGAUCUUAGGACCUCCCGCUACAGGGGCGGCCGAUGGCAGAUUAGCUAGUUGGUGGGGUAAAGGCCUACCAAGGCGACGAUCUGUAGCUGGUCUGAGAGGACGACCAGCCACACUGGGACUGAGACACGGCCCAGACUCCUACGGGAGGCAGCAGUGGGGAAUUUUGGACAAUGGGCGAAAGCCUGAUCCAGCAAUGCCGCGUGUGUGAAGAAGGCCUUCGGGUUGUAAAGCACUUUUGUCCGGAAAGAAAACCUCUCGCCCUAAUAUGGUGGGGGGAUGACGGUACCGGAAGAAUAAGCACCGGCUAACUACGUGCCAGCAGCCGCGGUAAUACGUAGGGUGCAAGCGUUAAUCGGAAUUACUGGGCGUAAAGCGUGCGCAGGCGGUCCGCUAAGACAGAUGUGAAAUCCCCGGGCUUAACCUGGGAACUGCAUUUGUGACUGGCGGGCUAGAGUAUGGCAGAGGGGGGUAGAAUUCCACGUGUAGCAGUGAAAUGCGUA
rnacentral:rRNA from 1 species